rnacentral:rRNA from 1 species
CACGUAGGCGGUUCGUUAAGUCGGAUGUGAAAGCCCUGGGCUCAACCCAGGAAGAGCAUUCGAAACUGGCGGACUGGAGUAUGGAUGAGGGUCGCGGAAUUCCCGGUGUAGAGGUGAAAUUCGUAGAUAUCGGGAGGAACACCAGUGGCGAAGGCGGCGACCUGGGCCAAUACUGACGCUGAGGUGCGAAAGCGUGGGGAGCAAACA